AUGGCGCUUCAUCUCGCGCGGCCGUUGGGCCUCCCCGCUCGCCUACCGCCGCCGCGCCGCCGUGCCCGGGCACAUUCCGUAUCCCCUUCCGCCGACGCGCGGAGCCCGAGCUUCAGGAGGCCGUACACGUCCGUCCUGGUGAUCCCCACGGGCGUCGGCGCCGCCGUCGGGGGCUUCGCCGGCGACGCCCUGCCCGUGGCGCGCGCCCUCGCCGCCGUCGCCGACUGCGUCAUAUCACACCCCAAUGUGCUCAACGCCGCGAUGCUGUACUGGCCGAUGCCCAACGCGCUGUACGUGGAGGGAUACGCGCUCGACAGGUUCGCCGAGGGCGCCUGGGCUCUUCAACCAGUCCACCAAAACAAGGUAGGCUUGGUGCUGGACGCCGGCAUCGAGGAGGAGCUCCGGCUCCGCCACCUGCAGGCCGCGGAUGCCGCGAGGGCCUCGCUCGGCCUCCCCGUGGUCGAGUACGCUGUCACAGAUGCCCCUCUGGAGAUCAAGACAUGGUUCGAUCCGAAAUGCGGGAAGUCGACGGGGAGUGUUGGGAACUCCGGUUCUCUGUUGAGGGCGGUGGACGCGCUAGUGAAACAUUCCGGCGUGAACGCUGUGGCGGUCGUUGCGCGCUUUCCGGAUGACGAUCCGGAUGAUUCAGACUGUUAUCGCGAAGGAAAGGGAGUUGAUCUGUUAGCAGGAGUUGAAGCAAUCAUCAGUCACCUAAUUGUGAAAGAAUUCAAAAUCCCUGCUGCUCACGCUCCUGCGGUGUUACCCCCACCAAUCAGCCCAUCACUGUCCCCGAGAUCUGCUGCAGAAGAGAUUGGUUAUACCUUUCUACCGUGUGUGCUUGCGGGGUUAAGCAGUGCUCCACAGUAUGUGACGAGGAGGCUUGGAACCUUGGACAAUGGCUGCAUAGUGGCUAGUGAUAUCGAUAGCGUGAUUAUUCCAAAAGACGCCUGUGGAGGUGAUGGUACUCUUGCUUUUGCUCAUACUGCAAGAAAGAACAAGCCCUUGAUCAUUAGUGUUCAGGAAAAUGAGACAGUCCUUGAUGAUACCCCAGAUAAAUUCGGUAUAGAAGCGCUGAAUGUUCAGAACUACUGGGAAGCAAUUGGAGUAAUUGCUGCUCAUAAGGCAGGUGUCAAUCCAAAUGCUCUUAGAAGACACGGGAUUGAGCAUCUUAAGAGCCAUCAACGAAUGUACUCUGGACGUUCUUCUGGUUCCCGGCCAUAUUCCUCUUCUCCAAUUCAGGGCAAAGUGUAUGUACAUCAGCUAGCUCGAUAAUUUAGUAGAGGAGAAAUCAGUUUUGACAAAUAGGAGGAUCCAAAUUUUGAAGACACGUCACAGAUAUGUGCUAUGCUGAUCCAUCCAUAUGCAUUGUUUCGAUGGAGAGGCUGGGAUAUACGCCCAUUUGGAAAACAAAUGCUAUGCUGAUUUCUCUGACGAUAUAUAUAGCGAUGUGUCAUUGUCUGCUCUUAACCAAAUGGGCGUUAGCACAUUUGAUCAUCGGAGUACACUUGUUUGUGAGAGAGAGUUAUUGCUGCUUUUCCUUCCCUGUUGUAACUACUGAUCAAACUGUACUACCUUUGAGGUCCAUAUUAUGACUUGCUGUGUGUGUACUA